rnacentral:rRNA from 1 species
UAAGCGGUUGAAGGUGUGUGGUAACGCAUGCUGGACGUAUCAGAAGUGCGAAUGCUGACAUGAGUAACGAUAAAGGGGGUGAAAAACCUCCUCGCCGGAAGACCAAGGGUUCCUGUCCAACGUUAAUCGGGGCAGGGUAAGUCGACCCCUAAGGCGAGGCCGAAAGGCGUAGUCGAUGGGAAACGGGUUAAUAUUCCCGUACUUCUUACAAUUGCGAUGGGGGGACGGAGAAGGCUAGGUGGGCCUGGCGACGGUUGUCCAGGUUCAAGUGCGUAGGCUUAAGAGUUAGGUAAAUCCGGCUCUUUUUAAGGCUGAGACACGACGUCGAGCACCUACGGGUGUGAAGUCAUUGAUGCCAUGCUUCCAGGAAAAGCCUCUAAGCUUCAGAUUGUAAGGAAUCGUACCCCAAACCGACACAGGUGGUCGGGUAGAGAAUACCAAGGCGCUUGAGAGAACUCGGGUGAAGGAACUAGGCAAAAUGGUACCGUAACUUCGGGAGAAGGUAC